rnacentral:rRNA from 1 species
UGUAGCUUGACAUUGGGUCUUGGUACUACAUGUACAGGAUAGGUGGGAGGCUUUGAAACCAGGACGCCAGUUUUGGCGGAGCCAUCCUUGGGAUACCACCCUUGUAGUACUGGGACUCUAACCAUAGACCAUGAAUCUGGUCUUGGGACACUGUCAGGUGGGCAGUUUGACUGGGGCGGUCGCCUCCCAAAAGGUAACGGAGGCGCGCAAAGGUUCUCUCAGUACGGUCGGAAAUCGUACGUAGAGGGUAAAGGCAAAAGAGAGCUUGAUUGCAAGACAUACAGGUCGAGCAAGGAUGAAAAUCGGACUUAGUGAUCCGGUGGUUCUGCGUGGAAGGGCCAUCGCUCAACGGAUAAAAGCUACCCUGGGGAUAACAGGCUUAUCUCCCCCAAGAGUCCACAUCGACGGGGAGGUUUGGCACCUCGAUGUCGGCUCAUCACAUCCUGGGGCUGUAGUAGGUCCCAAGGGUUGGGCUGUUCGCCCAUUAAAGUGGUACGCGAGCUGGGUUCAGAACGUCGUGAGACAGUUCGGUCCCUAUCCGUCGCAGGCGUAGGAAAUUUGAGAAGACCUGUCCUUAGUA